UUUUCUGUCACGCGAAAGCACAUCAGCCACAGCGUCCGCGUCGCUCCUGGGGCGGCUCGGGCGAAACCCUAGCCGCCGCCCCCGACCUCCCCAACGCUCCUCUCCCCUCGCCGUCGCCGGAGGAAGCCGGCGGGCAAAGCCCGUCCGGCGGACGGCGGCGGCGGGGCUCUCUCGUGGUUGGCUGGUUGCGGCAGGAGAUCGAGGCGCGUGGGCGAGGAUGCGGAGCGGAGGUGCCUAGGCGUGCGGCGGUGCGAGGAGCGGGCUGUCGGGUGGCGCCUGGGCGUGCGGCGGCGGUUGGCGGCACAGAUCCAGGCCCGCGCGGCCGCGGCGUGCUGUUUCCGGGCAGCACAGCGGCGGCGGCCUUCGGCGGUGUUGGGCGCGACGCGGGUCGGUAGGUGCGGCGUCGCGGUGGCGUAGCUCUGCGAGCCCGGCAGUGGUGCUCCUCGACGUAUCCACAACAUCGUGGAGGUGUGGUGGGGGCGGCUGGGAGACCCUGCCAUGCGGCGCUCGGUGGUCGGGCGGCUGGAUCGGGGCAAUCUUGCCCUGAUCUGCAGGUUCGUGGGUUGGUGCGGAAGGUUGCUGCGGGUGGAGGUGCUGGUCGGGCCAGCCGGUUUCGGGUGGUUGGUGACGAGGCAGCGCAAGGUGAAAGCCAUGUCUCCGGUCUUUGACCAGAGCCGGCGACGGUGACAUCCGCGGACGCCAUAACCUUCUCUGAGGCGUUGUUGUGGCACUGCUCUUGGCACCCAUCCCCGAGGUGAGUUCCGAGGGAAACCCCAGGUUCCAAGUUUACUUGGACCGGAUGGUGGCGACGCUCGACUAGAGGGACCAGUGGAAGGAGGCGUGAGUUUGCGUCGCGAUUUGUGUGGCAACGACAAUGGUGGCAAGUGAAGCAGGGUCUCGGUGUGGCCUUCGACGUCGACCGAUGUGGUCUUUUGGGUUCGUCCUUGCAGUGAUCUUCUAGAAGUGAUGGUGUCGGAGCUCUAGUAAAGUCGGAGCCCCCGGCCUAGGGGGCUGUUGCCGAUGUACGAUGACAUUGGGUGGCGAAGGUGCCUCGCGGAAGGUUGUUCAAUGUUCGACGAUCUCCAGCGCAAGGCUUGCCUUUCUCCCUGUUGGAGCUUGUCCUCAGAAUCGGAGUCGCCUUGUCCUCGACGUGUGGACCGGCUCUUUGGCAUAGGCCGAUGUGGGCUUCGUACAAUUGUUCAGGCGAGGGCUUGUCGGUGGUUAUCUACGGUGAAGUCGGAGUCGCCAGCUCAGGGAGUGAUGUGUGAUGACGAUGACAUUUUGUGGGUGACCUUGAUGGAUGUUUUUCCUUGGCAGCGUGUGUCGAGUGUUACUUGGUAGUCAGGUCGGCUAGUGUUGUUCUGUGUGCGGUCAUGUUUCAUGACGGCAUUCUUUUGAACAUGUUGAACCGGUUUUUGCCAGGUUAUCCGUAAAUUAACGGGCAAUUCUCUUCUUCUUGAUUAAUGGAUUGAGACCCUAAGACUCCGGUUUCGAAAAAACAAAAACAAUUUUAUGUUAACCGUGGUUGAUGCCGUGGAUGAGCCAGACAACAGCGAUGUCGAGGCAUUCGACGGCCGGCAGGUUGCAUGCGGUCGAGGGCAGCCAACAGCCAGUUGGACGUCCUUUGUUGCUCGGGUUCUCGAGUCGUUGUCUGGGGGACGAGACGAGCGGCGAGGUUGAGGGCGGGCGGCCGUGUGGCCCAGGGUGGCCGGCGGGGACGUGCUCCGUUGCACGCUUUCUCGCUUUACAGUAUCAGCUUGAUAUCAGGUUUGAAAUAAAAGAACCACCUUGAUACCCCGCGGUAGUUUUAGAUUUCUGAUGCUUUUCCCAUCAAAUUAUAUGGCAAACUCGCUCGCUCUAAUCUUGAAAAGAGUAGAAGUCGGGGCUCAGCGUCAUGCGGUCCCCAACUCCGUAGGGUAUCAGCACAGAAGACUUCUCCAUUCUCAAAAAGAGCACAGAAGAGUAGAAAACUUCUUCUCUGCCGCCUCGAACAGAACAUGAACAUGGCUUCCUCAGCCUCCGGGAGGGGAGGCUUCCUCUUACCGCCGGCGGCGGUGGUGGUUUUGGUACUGGGGGCCGCUGUAUUCCAGGCGCGAGGGGCACCCGCGGUGGCAUGCGUUCCGCGGGUCUUCAGCUUCGGGGACUCGCUGGCGGACACGGGCAACUUCCCCUUCCUCUACGGCAACGACUCCCGCGAGCCCGCGCUCAGGCGUCCGUACGGGGAGACCUUCUUCCGCCGCGCCACCGGCCGCUUCUCCGACGGCCGCCUCAUCGUAGACUUCAUCGCCGACACGAUGGGGUUGCCGUUCGUGCGCCCGUACUUGAGCGGGGGUAGCGUGGAGGACUUCGCGUACGGGGCCAACUUCGCGGUCGGCGGCGCCAUGGCGCUGAGCUCGGACUUCUUCCGGGGCAGAGGGGUGCCCAUGGGUGACCGCAUGCACCUCGGCAUCGAGAUGAAGUGGUUCCGCAACCUGCUCGAUCUGCUCUGCCCCGUCGACCGGGCUGAUUGCAGGGGCUUGAUGAACAAAUCACUCUUCUUGGUUGGAGAAAUUGGGGGCAAUGAUUACAACAUACCUCUUCUCUCUAGGGUGCCUUUUGAGAAGAUACGCACCUUCACCCCGAGCGUCGUUGCCAAAAUUUCUUCUACAAUCACUGAAUUGAUUGGUCUGGGAGCCAAAACGUUGGUAGUUCCUGGCAACCUCCCAAUUGGAUGCAUCCCAAACUACCUCAUGAUAUUCAAGAGUGACAAGAAGGAAGAUUAUGAGCCAGAGACUGGUUGCCUGAGGUGGAUGAACGAAUUCUCACAGUACCACAACAAACUUCUUGUGGAUGAGCUGGAAAAGUUGCGCAAGCUUCAUCUUGGUGUGUCAUUAAUCUAUGCCGAUUACUACGGAGCUGCUAUGGAGAUCUACCGUUCCCCCGAACAAUUUGGGAUUGAGCAUCCUUUGGCAGCAUGCUGCGGUGGAGGAGGACCCUAUGGUGUGUCCAUAACUUCAAGGUGUGGAUAUGGAGAAUACAAGGUGUGUCAUGAUCCACAAAAGUAUGGAUCAUGGGAUGGAUUCCAUCCCUCAGAAGCUGCAUAUAAGGGCAUUGCAAUUGGCCUGCUGAGAGGAACAUACACACAGCCUUCAAUUGCUACCGUCAUCAGUGGGUGUCCACAGCUUACUGAGCUCGGCUCUUCUGUUGAACACAAGUGUUCAGUUGAGCAGUUGGGUUAACAUCAGGAGAUUUCUUUGAAAUAAAUUCGACCUGUGGGUACUAGCACCGAGGGCAUCAACUAUCAAGCAAUGGAUCCAUGAUGAUAUGAUUCUUCUGAGAGUCGCUUUCUUGUGGUACACAAUCUUGUAUAAAGAAGGAUGGUGUGUCCGACUUUGAUACAAUUUAAAAAGUGGACAUGACUGAACGAGAGAUUAUCCAUCCUUUGCCCAUAAGGAGUAGCUGGAAAUUUCAGUGCAUGGGUUCUCUCUUCGUCGUUGUCCGUGGACCUGGUGGUGCUCAUCCGUCGGUAAUGCUCUUCAGUCCUUUUCGGGUGUCUCAGUUCGGGUGGAGUUUGAAUUCAGCGAGGGCCCCUACCUACCACCAUCCUACCCGUAAGCCAUCGCUACAAGUAAGAGACCCCAAGAGUCCACGGGAG